GGACCCGACGCGGCUGGGGGCUCAGGGCAGGGGCAGCCCCCUCGGCCAGGCACGCUGCGAAGUGAGCCCUUCUGGUUGCUGAGGGAUGGCCCCGCCGCAAGGCUGGUUGUAUCUGAUCUACAGCUGUCUCUUCUGGUCAGUACACGGAAUUGUACCAGAUCCACAAAAUGUAAGAAUUAGUUCGAUUAAUUUUGACAGCAUUCUUCAGUGGGAUCCACCUAAUCUUCAAGAAGAAAAUCUAACUUACACAGUUCAGUAUCAAGACAUAUAUUCUUACCAAUUCAGUGACUUGUGCUCAAGAAUUGCCUGCACAGAAUGCAACAUUACAAAGUUGCCUAAACUUGGUGAUCACAUAAUAAGAGUUAGAACUGAGUCUGAGAAGGAAAAGUCAAAGUGGGUAAACAUCAGCUUCGAACCUCUCCGUGACACAACCAUUGGACCACCUGAUGUAUAUGUUAAAUCCACAUCUGGGGUAUUGUAUGUAGAAGUCACAGAUCCCCCCAUUACAAAUAUACGUGACUAUUCCAGUUUGUCCAUAAAGGGCAUUUAUGGUUCAAGUAUGACUUAUAAAAUGUUGAUCUGGAAGAAAGACUAUGAUGAACAGGUAAGAGAUGAGAAUAUAAUGCAUAAUUCAAUAAUAUUAUCUGACCUCGAUCCUGGGACAACUUACUGCCUUAAGGUUCAAGUACUUAUUCGUGAAAUGAAUAAAAAAGGAGAGUGGAGCAAUGUGUUUUGUCACAGAACAAACGACAGUGGUGUAAAUCCAGUGCAGCUUACUGUUAUCCUACUCUCAGUGUUGGUGUUGUUACCUUUCGGCUGCCUUUUGAUUUUACAUCUUUAUCGACGGGUCAAAAAUGCCUUCUUACCUUCAUAUUCUUUGCCACAGCAUUUCAAAGAGUUUUUAAACAAGCCUUUUUACAGUUCACAGUUUCUUGCAUCUCAGUUAAAUGGAGAAGAUCAUUCCUAUGACAAGAUAACUAUAAUUUCUGAGGAAAAAUUAUAAUAUUUAAUUUGAGAAGCAACUGAUCAAAGUGGCAAUUACAAAUGUCCGACCUCUAGGCUCAAAGAAGUUUAAGACUGUACACCUUUGCACACUAUGCAGACUGGAAGGAAUAAUCUACUGCACUCUGAAGGCACUUACAAAGCAUCAUUUAACUUUUGCACACUUCAAAUUUCUAAAUUUGUAAAAAUUAUGAUUGGUGCAGCUGCUAGAACCCCAGUUUCUAGAUGGGCAACAGUCCACUUCUGCCUGCAUGUGGGUCUACCAGGCACCAUCUAGCAUAAAUUAGUCAUGACUAAACUAAAUUAAAGCUAAAUUAGUCAUGAAUUUCAGAAAGCUGUUAGACAAGGUGCAGUACUACAAUGACAUCUGUAAAGCCCUUGAGGGUGGAAAUUGAGACGGAAAAACAAAGAGAGUUUUCCAAAAGAUUCCUGAGCUCAGAAGGAGGUUCUGACCUCAAAUUGGUAUGUUAAGGGAUGCCAAAGGACAAAUAGUAACUGAUUCAGAGAAGAUCAAACAGAGAUGGAGAGAGUAUACUGAAAAUCUGUACAGCAGGGACAUCAACAUCCAAGAUACUCUAGAAGAUAUUCCCUACUUGCAAGAACCUCUAGUAUGGGAAGAUGAAGUUAGAUCAGCACUACAGGAAUUUAUGGGAUAGCUACAGAAAUAUGGUAGGCAACAGAAGAAGAAUCUGUCAAGGCUCUAAACCAAACUAUGCCAACAAAUUUGGAGAACACAAUGGCCAACAGAUUGGAAGAGGUUGGUCUACAUAUCCAUACCAAAGAAAAGAGACUGAACAGAUCAUGCAAACCAUCGCACAAUAUCCUUAAUUUAACAUGCUAGCAAAAUAAUGCUCAUCCAGUGCAGGUUGGAGCCUUACAUGGAAAGCAAAAUGUUGGAUGUUCAAGCUGGCUUCAGAAAAGGCCAAGGGACAAGAGACAUUACUGCUGAUGCACGCUGGAUAAUUGAGAAAGCCAAAGAAUACCAAAAAGAAGUCGAUACGUGCUUUAUUGAUUACAGAAAAGCCUUUGAUUGCAUCGACCAUGUCAAGUUGUGGAAUAUCCAUAGGAAAAUUGGCAUCUCAGAACAUCUAAUUGUUCUCAUGAGAAACCUAUACACAGGACAGGAAGCCAUAGUCCAGAUGGAACAUGGUGAAACAGACUGGUUCCAGAUCGGCAAAGGAGUAAGACAAGACUAUAUGCUGAAUGUAUACUGAGAAAAACUGGAUUGGAAGAAGAUGAGCAUGGUUUUAUUAGCGUGGUUUUAAAGUUGGAGGAAGAAACAUCAAUAACCCACACUACACUGAUGACACCACUCUGAUAGCUGAGAAUGCGGAUGAUCCGCAGGCUCUAGGAAUGAAAGUCAAGCAGCACAGUGAAAAAAUGAGACUACAACUAAAUGUAAAGAAGACUAAACUAAUGACAGCAGGUACAGCAACAAGCUUCAGAAUUGAUCAUGAAGACAUUGAAGUGGUGGACAGUUUAUGUCUUUUAGGAUCAACCAUCAGCAGUAAAGGAUCCAGCAGUCAAGAAAUACACUGCAGACUAGCAGUUCGUAGAGUUGCAAUGAAGGCCUUGGAAAGGAUAUUUAGAUGCCAUGACGUGCCUAUACUUACAAAGAUUAGAAUCACUGGGACAAUGGUUUUUCCCGUGACACUCUAUUAUUUAUUUAUUUAUUUAUUUUAUUUUUAUACCGCCCUUCCAAAAUGGCUCAGGGCAGUUUACGAUUAAAACAAAACCAUUAAAACCAAUAACAGUUAAAACAGAAAUAUAAACAAUGUAAAAACAUCAAUUAACAAUUAAAACAUCAUAAACAACUAAACAAUCAGAAUAAUUAAAACCCUGAAAACCAGGUUACAGCAUUAAAACAAUUAAAACUAAUUAAAAACUCUGGAAGGCCAGGCCAAACAGAUAGAAUUUAAGGGUUCUCCUGAAGGUCAAUAAAGAAUUCUGGUUGUGGAUUUCUGCUGGGAGUGCAUUCCACAGCCCAGGAGCAGCUACAGAGAAGGUCCACCUCUCAGUUGCCACCAAAUGAACUGGUGGUAACUGGAGACAGACCUCCUCAGAUGAUCUUAACGUGUGGUGGGGAUCAUGUAGAAGAAGGCGCUCUCUCAGAUAACUCGGACCCAAGCCAUUCAGGGCUUUAAAGGUAAUAACCAGCACUUUGUAUUUUGCCCGGAAACAUAUCAGCAGCCAGUGUAGCUGUUUCAAAACAGGCAAAAUAUGGUCUCUCCGGGUUGCCCCAGAGACCAAUCUGGCUGCCGCAUUCUGAACUAACUGAAGUUUCUGGACUACGUACAAAGGCAACCCCACGUAGAGCGCAUUGCAAUAGUCAAGCUGGGAUUUUACCAGCUGAUGCACCACUGUCUUGAGGUCAUGCUCGUCAAGGAAUGGGCGCAGCUGUCAAAUCAGCCAAAGCUGAUAGAAAGCACUCUUGGCCAUGGCCUCCACCAGAGAUACCAGGGUGAGGCCUGGGUCCAGGAGUACUCCCAAGCUGUGCACCUGCUCCUUCUGGGGGAGUGUAACCCCAUCCAGCACAGGAAGAUCUAGCACACCCCUCAGAUUCUCAGCCCCCACAAUGAACACCUCCGUCUUGCUUGGAUUCAGCUUCAAUUUGUUCUCCCUCAUCCAGCCUAUUACUGCCCAUAGGCAGGCAUUUAGAGAAUGAGUGCCAUUUCCUGAAGAUGAAAGGGAGAAGUAGAUUUGGGUGUCAUCAGCAUACUGAUAACAUCCAGCACCAAACCGCCUGAUGACCUCACACAGCGGUUUCACAUAGAUAUUAAAAAGCAUUGGUGACAGAAUGGAGCCCUGAGGCUCCAUAUAACAGCUCCCGUUUUGAGGAGCAACUGUCACCAAGUUCCACCAUCUGGAAUCUACCCGAGAGAUAGGAGAGGAACCACUGCAAGGCAGUGCCCGCUAUCCCCAACUCCCCCAGGCAAUCAAGAAGGAUACCAUGGUCAAUGGUACUGAAUGCCUUUGAGAAAUCCAGAAGAACCAGCAGAGUCACACUCCCUCUGUCGAUUCCCCGGUAAAGGUCAUCCAUCAGGCUGACCAAGGCUGUCUCAAUGCCAUAGCCAGCUCUAAAGCCAGUUUGAAAUGGGUCUAGAUAAUCAGUUUCCUCCAAGACUGCCUGGAGCUGGUCGGCCACCAUCCUCUCAAUCACCUUGUCCAACCAAGGGAGAUUGGAGAUUGGCCUGUAACUAUCCAUCACUAAGGGGUCCAGGGAAGGCUUCUUUAAGAGUGGUCUGACCAUUGCCUCCUUCAGACAAGGAGGCACCCUACCCACUCUCACUGAUGCAUUUAUGAGAUUAACUAGGCCAUCUCCAACAAUCUCCCUGCUAGAUAGAAGCAGCCAAGUCGGGCAAAGAUCCAGAGAACAGGUGGUAGGCCGCACCUACCCAAGCAACUUGUCCACAUCCUCAGGAGUCACAGAUUGAAACUGAUCCAAUCUAAUACUGCAAGAGGGAUGACUGGACACCUCCUCCAUAGACCUUGCAGAAAUAGUGGAGUCCAGGUCAGCCCAAAUACAGGAGAACUUAUUCGCAAAGAACCCAUUAAAGGCAUCACAGCAGAGCAACUCCAGGGACUGAUUAGAAGUAGAAGGAGCAGAAACUAAGCUCCUCACAACCCAGGAUAACUCCGCUGAGCGUGAACCUGCAACCGCAAUGCGCGCAGACCAGAAUCUCUUUUUCGCUCCGUGUACUGCCACCGCAUAAGUUCUCAAAUGGGUCACAUGCUGAAUCCUGUCAGAUUCUAUCCGAGUUCUCCACUUGUGCGCUAGUCGCCAACCCAACCGCUUCAGCCCCCGCAACUCUUCACUAUUCCAAGGGGCCAUUUUUGCAGCAGGUUGGAAGGGACGCUUAGGAGCAAUCAUAUUUCCUGCCCUGUUGAGUUUUCUGUUCCAGAUCUCCACCAGGGCAUCGACAGAAUCAACGGCCGCACCAACGUCAAAAUCCUCCAAGGCCUUUUGAAAUCCUACUGGGUCCAGCAGCCUUUUCGGAUGGAACAUCCUAAUAGGUCCACCACUCCUGCAGGGGUGGAUUGUGGCUGUGAGACCAACCUUAACCAGGUAGUGGUCCAUCCAUGACAAUGGGGAAACCACUGGAUCCCCCACCCACGGAACACCCCCCCUGAUCUGAACAAAAGACCAAAUCGAGUGCAUGGCCGGCAACAUCAGUUGGUUCAGAAACUAAUUGGGAUAGGCCCAUAGUUGUCAUGGCCGCUAUGAACUCCUGAGCCACACCAGACAAGCCAGCCCCCAAGUAGAUCUUGAAGUCCCCCAGCACCAGCACCAAAAGUCUAGGAGACUCCAACACCAACUCAGCGACCAGCUCAGUUAGGGAGUCCGUUGGGCAGCGGGGUGGACGGUACACCAACAGAAUCCCCAAUCUAUCCCUAGUUCCCAGCCUCAAAAAUAUGAACUCAAUAUGUCAACUGUCUCACAGGGGCCCUGGUAAGGGAAAUAGUAUUCGUAUGGACCACAGCCAGUCCACCCUCCACCCACUUCCCCUGGCCUGCUCCACGACAGAGUAACCUGGUGGGAGAAGCUGAGCCCACACUGGACCACUCGCCUCCCCCAACCAGGUCUCAGUUAUACAUGCCAGGUCAGCUCCCUCAAGUCAUGGAUUAUUUCAGUCUUAUUCUGAACCAACCUGGCAUUACAAAGGAGCAAGACUAGGUACUGUGGGAAGUUGGAACUGCUCCCGAGGCCAGAGAGCUGACAGGGCAUCCAGAAGUGGGAACAGUUACUAAAUUACUGAUUUCCCUUUCCCUGUAACGGCCAGCUGCUCUGCCAGUGCCAAUUCUUUUAUUCCCCGCCACUACAGUAAUAGCUGCCCCCAAACUACCAGGCACACUCCCAGCACCAUCCCACUCAAGAGAGCCCAAACACAUAUCUGCAAAAGGCCGGCCCCCUUUGGCAGCCGGCUUCGAGGGUGGCCCAAUGGCUAUGCCUUUGGCAAGCCUCCUUGCUUUUAAGCCUGCAAGCCCCAAAAGCCACUCCCCUCACAAGCAGCUCCCAGGACAGGCAGCAGGUGGUAGAACUCAACAAUCUGGGAGGCUGGCAAUCAGCCAGCUGGAACUUGGCAACCAACAAGCAGGCUGCACUCCGUCUGUACUGAAAUGUCCACAGGAGGCAGAGGGGCUUAAGUAAGUCCCGGCAAGGCAGAUAGAAUGGCCCUGUUACCUUCCCCAGCCUUAUGGACUUCUCAAGGGAGUUGGAUUUUCACAGUAUGAUAAUUUGAGCCUGGUCAUUUGUGCCUCAAAUGCAAAUUCUGGAUUGAUUUGUUCUAUGGUCCAUUUGUUUAUUUUCCUGGAUGUCGCCAUUUCAGUAUAACUUGGUCAUUACUAACUGGAUUGUUCCAAUCUCCAUUUAUUUAAUGCAAUAAAUACUGUUGCAUAGCACCUUUUGUUCCUGAAGAGUCCCAACAGAAGCCCUAUAUAGAAUGCUUGAUGAAUCCAGCCCAGAUAUUUAAAACAUUGCAUCAACAGCAGUCGUGGCAUCAAACAUGCACCCACAGAGCGUGAAACUGCCAUGUAGCCAGAUCUGAAGCAUAUUUGCUUGGAAGUAAACCUCAGUAGAGUGUGUCCAUAUGUAAGUGUGCAUUGGAUUGUGCACACAGUAGUUUAUAAUGGUAUCUGAGCAAGUUUGAGACAUCUUUAACAUUUUAACCCAUUUCUGACCUCCGCUGUGCACUGAAAAAAAAUGUGGUUUUCAGUUUAGGCAUAAGGUUUCUGUUGCCAGUAUUAUAUUGGUUUGGAAAGUGGCACAUUUUCUCACUUCAUUAAGCACACUGUAAAAGUAUACAAACAAAGUCUGCUACUCCGCACUUAAUGGUCAGGCCUGAGGAAAGGAGGUUGGUCUUUGGGCAACCUUUUGUGGGUUAGUACCCACAAUGGUUACUAACACUAUCCUAAUGCCAGCAUUGGUAAAUCCUUGCCUCUUCAAGCCCGGUCUGGUCACAGUCGGCACAAUUUUGUUCCCAUAGGAGACAACUGAUAGGUUGUUCCAAUCCAUAGUAGUGCAGCCAUUAGAUACUGGAGCAGAGAAAAGAGUAAACGGUGCAAGGCAAAUGCACUCUAAACGAUGGAAUAUGACAAACAAUAAGAGGAAUAUAUUUUUGUAGAAAAGGAAAACAAAACCCAGUAGGCAAUAUUGUUAACUGAAAUAGAAGUUUUUGAUGUGUAUAAAUCUUUGUGAUCUUAGCAUCAAAAAAUUGAGGAAAGUGUUUUUCAAAGUGUGGCCCUAGGAGACUGCCCCUGCGGGUUCUCUCCUAUUGCUUCUUUGAUGAAGAGACAUGGACAAAAAUAUUAUAAUAGCUUUUAAACUUAACUUCUUGGGCUUGAUGAAUAUCUCAACUGUGAGCCAUUAAUAAUGACCACAGCAACAAUAAAAUUAUAUGAAAUUAUGUAUUCCACCAUUUCUCUGAGCAGUUUGGAGCAAAUAAGAUCAAGUAAUUUUGGGGCAACUUGGUAUUAAUUGUAUUACAAUUAAAUCUGGAAAAAGAGGUGGCUCAGAUGUCAAGCUUUUUAGGAUUCUACAUUCCAAUAUUAUUCAAAAAAAAAUCUGUACAGAGCCUAGCAGGCUCUGUCCUGCCAUCUUGUGAUUUGGCUAUUGUCUCAUAGCAUGCUAUUAUCCUUUCCAAUGAGUCAUAUGAUUGCCUCUUUAUGGAAUUAGUUGAACUAUAGGGUAAACACUAUUGAUUUCACUUUCUCUGUAGCUUUUUGGUGUUGCACCAGAGAGGAAAUCUUUUACAUUUAUUGUAAUCACAUCACAUGUAAUUACAUUUAUUGUAAUCACAUCACAGAAUUUUGUGGUGGUAUGUUGAGAAAUAGAUUAUGAUAGUAUGAGGUGGCAUAUUAUUCAACAGUUAGUGUAUUUUAAGAUUAGACAUGAAGAAAAUGGAUUCAGCCACAAACGUGUGCUUCACUGGAUAGCGAGAGAACCAUAUUCUAACAAUAUUUCACAAACAACCAUUUAUUCUGUCUCUAAAAUGUGUUAAUGUGCUCUUCAUGAGUGAAAUUAAGUCUUUAUUGGAAAUCACAAAGGAAGACAUCAAAAUAAUACUGUGUGUUACUACUAAGUAUCUCUUCCAGUGCAUUAACUGAUCUCAUAAUUUGUCAUAAGAGGGGAACUUAUACAACAUCUUUUAAAUAUGUGACUGGACUGUAUGAAACCUCUGACCAGACUAGACUCCCUAGAAACUUGCAGUAAAAUGUAUUUAUUAUGUCUUUAUCAUGCCCUGCCUUCCAGGAGCUCAUGAUAUUACUGUAUAUACAGUGUUAAUCCUCACAACAAUCCUGUGAAGAGAGAUGGUGACUCGUUCAAGGUUACACAGUUUCAUGGCUGAUCAAGGAACUGAACCCAGGUCUCUUCAGUCUAAGACCAUUAACCUUAUUCACUGCACUGCACUAGCUCUUACAACAUAUGUAUCCAAAAAUAUCUGCAAGGAAGAAACAAACACUGUAGGUAUUAGAGUUCAAACAGUGAUUAUUCUCAGGAUGUGAUGUGGUUCAUGUUCCCUCAUUGCACAACUAUCAGCAGCAGAACCCAAGAAGACUAAAACCACUUACCACUGUGUAUACCAUGCGAGGCAAAAGUUAUAUGAGAUGACAUGAAAUGUUAUUAGAAUGGUGGUCUGGCCGCAUUUGUAAAGCUUUGGCCACAAUGUUACAUUCGGUUUCUUAAAUGGAAAGUGAAACUUCUUGAGCUUCUAUUAGCAUGCAUAUUGCUGUCAUGGAAGAGGGUGUGUGGAAUCAAACACACUGCAGUAACUGCUCCAAUCAACACACGUACACCUUGUGAUAAACUUUUCAACACUAAGAGAAACCCUUGUUCAAAAUAAUACCUGUUCUGAAUACAAAUAUGCUGUUUGGUUUAUCA